GUGAGGAAUAUUGGUCAAUGGGCGAGAGCCUGAACCAGCCAAGUCGCGUGAGGGAGUACUGCCCUAUGGGUUGUAAACCUCUUUUGUCGGGGAGCAAAAGCCGGACGUGUCCGGCUGUGAGAGUACCCGAAGAAAAAGCAUCGGCUAACUCCGUGCCAGCAGCCGCGGUAAUACGGAGGAUGCGAGCGUUAUCCGGAUUUAUUGGGUUUAAAGGGUGCGCAGGCGGAUUUUUAAGUCAGCGGUCAAAUCGUGGGGCUCAACCCCAUCCAGCCGUUGAAACUGGGGAUCUAGAGUGUGCGAGAGGUAUGCGGAAUGCGUGGUGUAGCGGUGAAAUGCAUAGAUAUCACGCAGAACCCCGAUUGCGAAGGCAGCAUACCGGUGCACAACUGACGCUCAGGCACGAAAGCGUGGGUAUCGAACAGGA
rnacentral:rRNA from 1 species